rnacentral:misc_RNA from 1 species
AAAAAAUGGCAACUGUGUGUCUCUCAAAUCCUAAAUCUUUUCUUCCAUCAUCUUCAUUUUCCACUAGAAAACAAAUAAUUUUGUGCAAAGCAGAGAAUAAUGUAUGUAAUUUUAGUUCAAUUAUUAGCAAGAGAAGUCUAUCAAUUAGCCUUGCAUCAAGUUUGUUGCUUUCUUUAACUGGAAAUGGAACUUUUAAUGCAAAUGCUGCAAUUUUAGAAGCUGAUGAGGAUGAUGAGUUGAUGGAAAAAGUUAAAAAGGAUAGAAAAAAAAGGCUUGAAAGACAAGGCAUUGUCAAUUCCUCCUCAAAGGAAAAAGGAUACUUGCAAGAUUUGGUAUACAAGCUCAGUAAAGUAGGCCAAGCUAUAGAGAAAAAUGAUUUAUCUGCAGCAAGUUCAGUUCUUGGCCAAAACACUGAUGCAGAUUGGUUGCAGAAAGUUAAUUCAGCACUCAACAAGUUUAGUGGUAGCGAUGAGGAGAAGUCAGAGAUCGAUUCCUUCAAUUCUUCGCUAUCUUCUCUUGUUUCAUCAGUUACUAAGAAUGACAUUGAAGGAUCAAAAACAGCUUUUGUGGCAUCAGCUAGUGCAUUUGAGAAAUGGACAACAUUAACAGGGUUGAUUGAAGAGCUAAAAGGGCUUUGAAGCGAAAAAAGAAAUUAGUAUAUUAUAUGAGAAUUUGGUCUAUAUCAACAUGUUUUUACCUUUUAACUUUCUUUUACUGUUUGUGUAACCACAAAGUAAUAAUUCUUUUACAUUGUCUUUUUUUCCUAUGUCAAAUGAAUCAUU